UGGGCAGUAGCUCAGUGGUCAAACUUCCGCUUCGUAUGCGGGAUGAUCUGGGUUCGUUUCCCGGCUGCUUAC
rnacentral:tRNA from 1 species